rnacentral:rRNA from 1 species
GACAGAGGUGCCGAGCGUUAGGCGGAAUCACUGGGCUUAAAGCGUGUGUAGGCGGCGGCGUAAGUACCUUGUGAAAUCCCACGGCUCAACCGUGGAACUGCUCGGUAUACCGCGUCGCUUGAGCCAGCUAGGGGCAACCGGAACAAACGGUGGAGCGGUGAAAUGCGCAGAUAUCAGGAGGAACACCGAUGGCGAAGGCAGGUCUCUGGGCCGAUACUGACGCUGAGGAGCGAAAGCGUGGGGAGCGAGCAGG